rnacentral:rRNA from 1 species
AAAUGAAUUGACGGGGGCCCGCACAAGCAGCGGAGCAUGUGGUUUAAUUCGAAGCAACGCGAAGAACCUUACCAAGGCUUGACAUCCCUUGACGCACGUAGAGAUACGUGUUCCCUUCGGGGCAAGGAGACAGGUGGUGCAUGGUUGUCGUCAGCUCGUGUCGUGAGAUGUUGGGUUAAGUCCCGCAACGAGCGCAACCCUUAUUGCUAGUUGCCAGCGCGUUAAGGCGGGAACUCUAGUGAGACUGCCGGGGACAACUCGGAGGAAGGUGGGGACGACGUCAAAUCAUCAUGCCCCUUAUGUCUUGGGCUACACACGUGCUACAAUGGCCGGUACAAAGGGCAGCGAAGCCGCAAGGCGGAGCGAAUCUCAUAAAGCCGGUCCCAGUUCGGAUCGUGGGCUGCAACCCGCCCACGUGAAGUCGGAGUUGCUAGUAAUCGCGAAUCAGCAUGUCGCGGUGAAUGCGUUCCCGGGCCUUGUACACACCGCCCGU